rnacentral:rRNA from 1 species
GAUGAACGCUGGCGGCGUGCCUAAUACAUGCAAGUCGAGCGAACGGACGAGAAGCUUGCUUCUCUGAUGUUAGCGGCGGACGGGUGAGUAACACGUGGAUAACCUACCUAUAAGACUGGGAUAACUUCGGGAAACCGUAGCUAAUACCGGAUAAUAUUUUGAACCGCAUGGUUCAAAAGUGAAAGACGGUCUUGCUGUCACUUAUAGAUGGAUCCGCGCUGCAUUGGCUGGUUGGUAAGCUAACGGCCUACCAAGGCAACGAUGCAUAGCCGACGGGAGAGGGUGAUCGCCCACCUGGGAGCUGAGCCACGGUCCAGACUCCUACGGGAGGCAGCAGUAGGGAAUCUUCCGCAAUGGUCGAAAGCCUGACGGAGCAACGCCGCGUGAGUGAUGAAGGUCUUCGGAUCGUAAAGCUCUGUUAUUAGGGAAGAACAUAUGUGUAAGUAGCUGUGCACAUCUUGACGGUACCGAAUCAGAAAGCCACGGCUAACUACGUG